rnacentral:lncRNA from 1 species
AGCCUUUGUGUUGAGAUACAUGGAGCAAAGGGUGGUAUCCUGCACCCUGUGUCAUCCACCCAACAUCUGGGUGUACAGUGAAUCUGGAACCUCAAAUACAUUUGAAACAAGAGCCUAACUGAUGUGAGCAGCAAAUUGGAGCAGAUAGUUUCCAAAUGAAAUCUGAGCUGAUGCCAGCUGCCUGCAAACUGGACCUGAUUUAAAAAUAAAAUCUCCCUGCCUGCAAGUCA